AAACACAGUGACUCAUUAGAACUGCUAGACUAGUCAGAUAAGCCCUGGCCCUGGCCCUGGCCCUGGCCCUGGCCCUGGCCCUUGCCUUCACCCUUGUAACAUUGGCCAAAGCUUGGGCAUGCUUUCCUGGGUAAAUCUUCCACCCUUUCUAAAGCUCCUCCCCAGUCCUUCCCAACAUGACUGCUUGUUCUGUGGGCACUUACAAACAGUGUGGCUCUUUCUCUUCCUCUUCUCCAUUUCCCUACAGCUUGCCUACCUGUUAUCUUUUUUUUUUCUUCUUAAACUCUAAUAAAAUUGUCCUUAAGCUUCCUUUGACUUUGUUUAUUUAUUUAUCUUUAUUAAUGAAGCCAAGAACCCCAAAUUUCUUCAGUGACAUGGCCAUAUUGAAUAAUUUUUUUUUCACCUUUUUGCUAUUGUGUGUUUAAUUGGCCUAACAAGGAUGGGUUGCCAAAAUUGGUAGCUGUAUGGGGUUCACUCAAGCUAUAACCCUAAUGACAGAUGUAAGGCCUGGGUGAAGGUAAAGAUGUCCCCUUUCUUAGGGCUCUUUUAAAUACAAGAAAUUUCCUUGUAACAGUGCAUGGUGUCUCACACUUCAGUCUUAAAUUUGGUGUGUGGUGGGUUGAAUGAGGAUGGCCCCCACAGACUUGAAUGGUUGGUUCCCAGCUGGUGAAGUUGUUUGGGAAGGAUUAGGAAAUGUAGCCUCGGAGGAGGUGUGUGUAGGGUGUAGGCAUUGGUUUCAAGAGAGUGGUGCCUUUCCCAUUGUCUCUCCGUCUCCUUGCAGAUCCAGACGUGAGCUCUCAGCUACUGCUCCAGCGCCAUGGCUACCAGCUAUUAUGUUCCUGCCAUGAUGGUCAUGAGCUCUGACCUCUUAAUCUUUGGGUCACAAAUAAACUCUCUUCGACAAAAUACCUGUGAAGAGUAAAAUGGACAAAAACGGGGGAGCUGAUUGCUGAGCUGGGAAGAACCUUGCCUCUGAUCUACAGCAGCCUAGGAUUUUGGCAGUGGAACAGGAUCCUAGCACAGAGUCCACUUCCUGUACAGGAAUGAGUUGACAUGAAGGGCAAGAGCCAUUGUGGAGGAUGCUCUGUCAUCUGCAUCUUUCACUUACUAGAGUGAUGGGAAGGACCUGCUCCAGACCCAUAUGCUUUUGCCCUGACUCUGGUGACUGGAAGGCAUCUUUGACUUUCCUGAGCUUAUGGAAGUUCUGCCCAAGCUCUGCCUUUGGAUUCACACUGUACUGCCCUUGCCAGGGUAAGCCUGUGUCCAAGCAACCUUCUGUCUGGGGACAGCAUCACAGCCCACUCCAGUGACCUCAGUUUAAGCUGCCAAUACCCUAUUCCCAAAUCUGGUCGCAUCUUGAAGUACUGCACCUAGAAUUUCAGCACAGUUGUUGUGCUUCCUUCUCCCCAUGUCUGUGUUAAGAGCAGGCUCAGCAAACCUACAGCUGCACCACAGCAGGGACUAAUAAAGCCCAGUCAAUGCG
rnacentral:lncRNA from 1 species